UACGUAGGUGGCAAGCGUUAUCCGGAAUUAUUGGGCGUAAAGGGCUCGUAGGUGGCCAACUAAGUCAGACGUGAAAUCCCUCGGCUUAACCGGGGAACUGCGUCUGAUACUGGAUGGCUUGAGUUCGGGAGAGGGAUGCGGAAUUCCAGGUGUAGCGGUGAAAUGCGUAGAUAUCUGGAGGAACACCGGUGGCGAAGGCGGCAUCCUGGACCGACACUGACACUGAGGAGCGAAAGCCAGGGGAGCAAACGGG
rnacentral:rRNA from 1 species